rnacentral:tRNA from 1 species
GAUAUAAUUCAGUUGGUAGAAUGCUUGCCUAGCACGCAUGAAGCUUUCUGGGUUUGAUCCCUAGUAUC